UACGAAGGUGGCGAAUGUUGUUCGGAUUUACUGGGCGUAAAGCGUCCGCAGGUGGUCUCUUAAGUCAGGUGUGAAAGCCCCGCGCUCAACGUGGGAAUUGCACUUGAAACUGGAAGACUUGAAGGCGAGAGAGGAGGGCGGAAUUACCGGUGUAGAAGUGAAAUUCGUAGAUAUCGAGAAGAACACCGGUGGCGAAGGCGGCCAACUGGACGGUGACUGACACUGAGACGCGAAAGCGUGGGGAGCAAACAGG
rnacentral:rRNA from 1 species